rnacentral:rRNA from 1 species
GGGUCAGUAGGUUGGUCGUGCCACCGGUACGUACUGGUCUCACUGAUUCCUCCUUCCUGAAGAACCGUAGUGCCAUUAAUUUGGUGUUGCGGGGAAACAGGACUGUCACUUUGAAAAAAUUAGAGUGUUUAAAGCAGGCUAACGCUUGAAUACAUUAGCAUGGAAUAAUGAAAUAGGACGAUCGAUCCUAUUUUGUUGGUUUCUAGGAUUGACGUA